GGAAGACAAACUCUGUGCAGACGACGAACGCAGCAUGUUAAUGUACCAGGGUGAAGCUCUAGAAAAUUUCAGAGGCCCAGAUUGUCAUUUUGUGAAUUUUA